CCUACGGGAGGCAGCAGUAAGGAAUAUUGGUCAAUGGGGGCAACCCUGAACCAGCCAUGCCGCGUGCAGGAUGAUUGCCCUAUGGGUUGUAAACUGCUUUUGUUAGGGAAUAAACCCCACUACGUGUAGUGGGCUGAAUGUACCUAAAGAAUAAGGAUCGGCUAACUCCGUGCCAGCGGCCGCGGUAAUACGGAGGAUCCGAGCGUUAUCCGGAUUUAUUGGGUUUAAAGGGUGCGUAGGCGGCACUUUAAGUCAGGGGUGAAAGACGGCAGCUCAACUGUCGCAGUGCCCUUGAUACUGAAGUGCUUGAAUGCGGUUGAAGACGGCGGAAUGAGACAAGUAGCGGUGAAAUGCAUAGAUAUGUCUCAGAACACCGAUUGCGAAGGCAGCUGUCUAAGCCGUUAUUGACGCUGAUGCACGAAAGCGUGGGGAUCGAACAGGAUUAGAUACCCUGGUAGUCCACGCCCUAAACGAUGAUGACUCGAUGUUUGCGAUAUACCGUAAGCGUCCAAGCGAAAGCGUUAAGUCAUCCACCUGGGGAGUACGCCCGCAAGGGUGAAACUCAAAGGAAUUGACGG
rnacentral:rRNA from 1 species